GCUCCCAACCUGUCCAAGGCACUGUCUCGGGCUCCUGUGUGUCAACAGCACGAUCAGCUGUUUCCGUGCCCAGUGGGUUCCUUGCAGGAAGUGGGCAGUGGAUGCCGAGGGAGUGACUUCUGCAGAAAUCCUCCAGGUGGUUUGUGAAUCUCGGAGGGCUCACAGGGCCCAGCGCCGGCCGCCUGCGCUCAGGGUUAUCUCUCCUGGGUUCAGUUAUGACGGCCAGUCGCUGUCGAGCCGAAGGUUCUACAUAGUAAGCGUGGGUGUUGGCCAAGCGAGACUGUCCCUGAUUCUUCAGGUCUUCCCAUCUCUACAAUGUCCUGUCUGCAUCUCCUUUCAUCUAAGGAGCAGGACGUGUUAAUGUCUGCUGAUAGGUUAGGUUAAGUAUGUGUGAGGUCCCUCCACCUUGUUGAACAUUUAUGGAGUGUCUGCUGCUUGACAGGGGCCAUGGGGGAAAGGAAAAGCUCUGAAGAGCUUGCAAAACACUAAGAGAAAGAAAAUUAUUCAUUAUUCUGACAUAAAGUAGAAGGCAGUUGAGUCCCUUACGAGGAAUAAAGGUUAGGGACGUGGAUCUCGGUUUCUUGGCAAUGGAGGCCACACAAAGAAGCUGGGGGGGGGGGGCAUUUAAGCUGGAUGCUGUGAGAAUGGGAAAGGCUCUCCUGGAGGAAGGAACAGCAUGAGCAAAGUGCAGAGGUGGACAUGGGCCGGGGGUGUGGGGGACCCUUGGGCUGGUGCAUUACGACAGUGUGGGGACAGCUCAUGGGGGGCCUGGAAGCAAGACUGGGGUGUGGACUUCAUUCUCUGAGCAAAGAGCAGGAACUGAAAGGUUUUGAUGACCGUUAUGGGUUGCCUCACGCACCCCCAGAAGAUAUGUUGAAGUCCUAGCCCCUCAGUACCCCAGAAUGUGACCCUGAUUUGGAAAUACGGUCUUUGUAGGUGUAAUUAGUUACGAUGAGGUCACGCGGAACCCGGGUGGGCCCCUGACCCAGUAUGACUGGUGUCCUUAUAAGAGGAAGAGAAGACACGGACAUGAGGGGAGGUGGCCACAUGACCAUGGAGAAGGAGACUCCGGUGUUUCAGUUUCUGGCCAAGGAAUGCCAAGCCAGUGUCUUAGCUCGCUCGGGCCGCUCUCUUGAAACACCAUAAACUGUGUGGCUUGUCCACAACAGAGGUUGAUUUCCCAUGGUUCUGGGGCUGGAGGUCCAAGACCGGGGUGCCAGCGUGCUCAGGUGCCGGUGAGAGCCCUCUUCUGGCUGGCCCUGUCUCCUCGUGCAUCCUUGCAGGGCAGAGAGAGUGAGCUAGCUGGCUAGCCUUGUCCCCUAAGGACACCGAUCCUGUUCAUGAGGGCGGUACCCCCCAAGGCCCUGCCUCCAAAUAUCAUCACACUCGGGCUAGGGGUUCAAUGUGUGGAUUUGAGGGGGACGUCAGUGCUCAGUCCAUAGCACUGGGGAUGGAUGGCCAACCCCCAGAAGCCUGAAGAGGCAAGGAAGGAUCCUCUGCUGCACAUUUCAGGGGGUCGUGGCACUGUUGACCUUCAUUCUGGACUUCUUUCCCUCAGAACUGUGAAAGAAUAAAUUUGUGUUGUCUUAUGCUCCCAGUUGGCGGUAGGGCGAGUCUGUUGGUGGCCUGUUUGGCCUUGCUGUCUUAGCCCAGGGCCCCCUGGGCAUGGGUUGCUCCUCAGCUCACUCCUGACCUCCAGAGUUGUGUGUGUGUGUGUGUGUGUGUGUGUGUGUGUGUCUGUGUGUGUGUGUAUGUGUGUGGGGGUGCUGUUCACUGUUUCCACCCAAGCCCAGCUGAACCACCCAGUUCUGAUGACGUUAUGGGUCGGUGGUCAAAAGCUUGAAUAUAUUUGUUGGUGUUGUUUUCGGGGGAAAAGAUACGGGCUUUGGGAAGAAAACGAUAUCGUACGAAGAAGAGAAUUUAGGGGCAGAGUGCUAAAGUCCCUUUGGGGGGAAUGGGUGCUGAGGCCAGGGAGGAAGGGAAGGGGGAGGCACCUGUCAGUCAGGUGCAGGGACUGAGGAUGCCGUGGCCUGCGUGGGUCUGGUUGGGGAGAAAUGCCGUGUGCUUCUGGCUUUACCUGGUUAAACUAUCGUCUGUGUGGCUGUUUCUUGCACACGCUGGGAAAAGCAAGCAGGGCUGUGGGGCUGGCUUCAGCUGAUGGCUGCAACCUGUUUGAACCUGGCUUGGCUGGCUUUGCGUGAGUCCAGGGCGGUAGCUGCAUCUACUGAGAGAGCGUUGACAUGGCUUUUCUGUCGCCCACUGUGUCCUGUGCGGCUCUUCUCACUGCCAACACCGUCCCCCCGCCCAGCUCCUUCAUCAGCCUGUUUGUUCAGAAAAGGUGAAAGAAAAAGUCACCCUUACUGGAUACCGAUAGACUGGCUGCCUGUGUCCUGCACACUGAGGACAUUGUUCAAGACGGUGCCACCUCUGUAAAAAUAUUGGUUCUGUAGUGUUGCCAAGAUUUCUGAGUUAGCUAUCAACCAGCUCUCCUUGGGCAAACCCAAUCUGCCUUCUGACAGGUUUAAUCAGCGUGCAAUCCCUUUAAGAAACUGCACACAGUACUUGUGUGCACGCUUGCUCUGUGCCCUGCUUGCCACCGGCGGCCCCUGGGGUAGGGGUGAUGUGACGCUGUGAACUUGGGGGCAGAAGUGGGCGAUCAGAAAAGGCAAACAGAAAAGGGCGGGAGAGCUCUUGCUUGGACGGGCUCGGAGAGAUGUCGUCUCCCAGAGAUGUCGUACGAUGUGUCUUUGGAGAAGACCUUCAGCCAAAGAUUUAAAGGAAAAGUGGAGGAGACCCGCUGUUGGUGCUGGAACCUUUGGCAUGUAGAUGCUGAGACCGUCAUUAAGGAGGAUUUUGAACCACAGGUAUCUACUGGCCUGGAAGGGAAAACUUGGUGGUAUUUCCUUUGAUGCAAUCACCUUGGAAGAUGGACUGUUGCAAUUCCGAGGCUCUCAGCAAACUCCACAAUCUGUUUUUGGUAAAAUAAUUUUAUACAGGUACGGAGGUUGACAGGUAGAAUUUCUCUGAGAGUGAGGUUAUUUUAGCCAUUCAUCCACAUGGGAUUAGAAAAGAUUGUUUUCAAGUUCUGAAAAUAAAUAAGGAGCUCAAAACGUAAGCAAACCUUCGGUUAACAUUAAAACAAAUGAAGCAUGGACCAAAAUUAGUAAUAAAAUAUGCUGGACCUUUGAAGCAACUGAUUUGAUACUCAGUGUGUACAAAGGACAAUAAUUUGAUAGAAUUAUCAGAUACAUUUCCACGUGCCUUUCCUUACUCUCUCUCAAGUGUCCUGAAAAUGUUUUGUAUUAUGGACUUACGGUAGGAAAUUAGUAGAGGCACGUGUACUUGGGGCAGGGGGCUGGGAAGUUAGUGUUUGGGCCGGUCUUCUCUGCUCUUGACUUACUGAGUGACCGUGGCUGAAGCGAUUAACUUCUUCGGGUCUCAGCUUCUCCAUCCGUGAAAGAGGAAUAUUGAGUGUCAGCUGCCAUACAAGGGGGUAAGACAAAUGAGCCAGCACUUGGGAAGACAAAUAAGGAAAAGGCUCAGAGACCUUCGGAUGAAAAGCAGCAAGGGGAAGAACAAAUGUCACCCCCCCCAGCCCCCCACCCCCCCCAUUCCCAUGCCUCUGAUUCUGGCCCCUUCUCAGGACUGGUUGGUGCUGAAAGCCAACAUUAACUCUAGAUAACGUAACUUGAGCCAUGUGAAGGCCAGUGAACCUGGAAAAAGAAAAAUAUCAACCGUAUUAAAAGGAUGGCACACGAUGUUUCCAGAACUGCUCAUAAAUUCCUGGUUUGUGGCAGCAAGAACACGUUUGAGAAAUUAAUGCUGGGGUAUCUCGAGGCAGCUUUAUAAUCAUGUCAGAUCUGCACGCUGUCCCCGAUUGCUGAAACUCUUCAUGGCUGAUAAGGUGCUUGUUACAGAAAAUGGGAACUAAAUUCAUAGUCAGCUUCUGUAGAGCCAAUUUACAUGUUGUACUGCUGGAGCUGAGAAGGAAAGGAAAUGUGCUUGAAGCCAAAAUUGGCUUUGUGGCUCUGGUUGCCUCGGCUCAGCACCACCUGCCUCCAAUCAAACUGUCCAAUUACAGGAAACAAUUGUUUUCUUGCUUUCUGGGAAGUGAAGAAAUUCAUCCAGUAAAGGUCUGAUUUCUAAAUGUUUCUCCCCCUUCCCCACCCCCCCCCCCCUUAAAAAGAAAAAAGAGCAGGAAAAAAAAACAAAAACAAAAACAAAAACCCAAAACAUCAACACUGUUUUGGGGGAGAAAAUGUUUCUUUAGCAAAUUGCUUUCCAAGCUCAAAAAUCAGGACGAUGCAGUCCGUGCAUUUUGGUGUUAUUGACCAGACACCUGAUCUAUAAUUACCUCCUAUAAUAACGUUAUUAGCCAUUCAGAAGAAAGAGUCUCCCUUUUAAGACGUGAGGCAGUAAUUAAAGGCUGUGAAUUUCGCAGGUGAAAUCUUGCAGAAAGUGCGGUUUUAAAGUCAAAGAAUUUAGUGAUCCACCUCUGGUUAAUUAAACUUUCUUCUCAAAAUAAAAUCUUGUAUUUGAAACAAUGAAACCGGUGGCAAUGAUACUAUUUAUCUCCGAGCCCAAGCCUCGUUUCUUUAAGCUCUGAUUUGACUUGCUAAAGCUUACUUCUCUGAGAUGGUUGAGGACUUGAGGGAGAGGAGACCAUCGGCUGCACGUGGAUGAUAUUGAGCAUACACAGAGCACGGAUGUGAUUACAGAGCAUGCGUUCCUCUGGCAGGUGACAUUUUAAUGGAACUCACAAGCAAACGUCACUUGAUAUGUUUCUAUGUCACCUCCUGAGUUUUGCUUUUUUUAAAACAUACAAACAGAACUUCUCAAUAUUUCAUGAUCCGGUUAAAAUGUGACCUCAUGAAAACCCCUGAUAGGUACCUUUUCAUAUCCUAAGGCAUUUUUAUCUUUCUGAGACUACCUCCCCAAAGCUGACUUAUACCUUGGAUUUGUGCCACAUCUGGGAUGCCCCGAAGUUAUUUCGAGGGAAUAAUCCCACUCCACGCCGUGAGUUCUCCUGUGCUUGGGACAUCGGCUCCUAAGUAUUCCUGUUUUCCUCCUCCAGGAAGCCCCCCGGUCUGAUCAGCUCUCAAGUUUGUCCCUGGUCAGCCCCGGUUUGGCCUCCGUCCCGGGCGGUGGUUUCAGACCUGCCCUGCAGACCAGCCCCCUGGGAAUAUGAACUUGUUGAGGACCAGCCUACCUUUUCCAUUCAGAAAAAAACGAAUAGGUGGAUGGUUUCCUCCUCUUUUUCUGGGUAUUUCCUCUGAGGUCCCUUAGCACCUUUUCCUUUCAUUCCAAAGACUGCCUGGGGACCUUGUGCCCUCUCGUGAGCCCACUAUACCUUGUGGCCCCCAAACAGCCAGGCAGAGGUCUUGGGCAGGGGCCAAGCACGCAGGCUCUAGAGCCUGACCUCAGGGUGCGUGCAAUCACCUGAGUCUUUGUUUUCUUACCUCAUCGGGGGUGGGAUCCCGGCAAGGUCAAAUUGCUCUACAGACCUCGGCUCUGCUCAUGGGUCAUGGCUCUGAGGUCCCGGCUGUCUGCAGGCCCACCUCUGCCACCAGCUUCACGAGGCCCGGGGACCUCCCCUAUGGCGGGCAGGACCUGCGGCUUGCUCCUGUCAGAGCCACUGGGAGAACAUGUAUGACCCCCAUCUCAGAUGCUGCAGACUUUGCCUGGGACCUGUGUGAGUCUGAGCCCUAAGCCCGGGAGAGCCAUCGUCCCUGUGGGGUCCUGCGGCUGGCAGACAGUAGCAGUGGAGUGGAGGAGGGCUACCUGUCCACCCUCCAUCCCCACUCUCCUCCCAGCCAUGUGCUUGGACCACGGCUGCCCUGGGCCAGACACACUCUGCUAGGCGGAAGAGCCCAAAACAGUUGCGAAUGCCAUUUCCCUCCCCCCAACAAGGAAACGAUGCGCUUGAAAGGAAGCCGUGUAAGGAGUGGAUGAGGCCCAAGUGUUUUCCUGGAAGCUCGGAGCCUGCCGUGGCCCUGCCGUGGCCCCUGCCCUCCCUUUGCCGCCGGUUCCCUCCUCUGGACUCGCCCCGCUCAGAAGCAGCCGUUCGAGGACCUGACCAUACCCCUUUCUGGAAAGUACUGCUGCGGCUGUUAGGUGAGCUGGCGGGAAGGCAGGGUGUUCUGGGCCCGGCUGUGAUGCCAGCCACGGAGGCCGUGAUGGAGCUUCCGGGCCAUCCUGGCAACGGGCGCGCGUGCAGUUUACGGCGAUCCUGCGCUCGCACCGUGGGGGUGAUGCCGGCGAGAACGACACGGCACGGGGCCAGACGCAAAUUGUUUUAAAACGCACGAGCGAACUUGGUUCAGGUGGUGCCAGAGAAUUCUCGAUUUCAGCGGAGGGUGAUUUUGUGCACGUUUACUGCUCUCAUCCAAUAAAAAUGCAACUGCUCACGGAGACAUUGGGUUGCGGUUUUAGGAGACGCUGUCAAGGAAAGGCCACAAAUUUAACCCAUUUUGCCGCACUGAGUUUGGUUGCUUUCUUCAAAGCGCCGUCAGCCCUUCAAAUCCGCGAGCUUUCUUUUUCUCUGCGAAAUGGUUACUCUGACCGUUUAGAAUAAUUUGAGUGAGCGACGCUCAACUUGAGCCACUCAAAGUGCCCGAGUGCCCUCAGGGGAGGCCUGUCAGGUGUGUGGUGUGGUUUCUGAUCCCAAGGAGUUACAGAAAGACAGCCUCGAAUAGCAGGGUGUUCAUGGGAAAACGUGGCACGGGCCGUAGGUCCCACCAGGGGUCAGGGAACGAACAGCUGGGGUCACCCACCGUGUAACAACGGUGCUCCAUCCUGAGCUGAAUUCACAGUGUACGACCCACGUAGCUGUAGAGAGGGGGUCACGCCAGGGUGCGACACGUCUGCACUUAGAAGGGUCCUGCCCGUGAUCGAAUGCUCCGUGUCACCGUUUUGAAACCCUUGGUCACCAGGAGCCUGGAGCUGUGUAUUUGCAUUUUGUGCCAAAGCCGUUUGCUUUUCUUUCUGGACACACAGCUCGACCCCAUCGCUCACCGUCUCUUGCAGCCAGGAAUGGCCACGUGACCAGGUUUAGCCAAAGGAAUGUGAGUACCGUUUGCGUGCCUGGCCCUCCCCCAACACGAGCUUGGUUCAGGGGGGUGCCAGAGAGUUCUGGAGCUCAGCGGAGAGUUACUUGUGCACGUUCACAGCCGCCAGCCAGCCACGAUGCAGCUGCUCACGGGGUCAUUGGGUUGUGCUUCUAGAAGCUGCUGUCAAGGAAAGUAGACCAGGCAUCCCCCCUGUGGCUCACUGGGCUGUGUCCCCCAGGGGGCUGUGGAAGCCCGCGCUGAGGCUGGCGUAGCUGCUGCUGGCCUGCGUCUGGGCGUCCGGAUAACUGUGCGGAGCAGGAGGCCCCCUCCCUGUCCCGGGCACUCGGAGCUGCUCAGGACUCUCACGGGAGCAAAAAAUAAAUGUCUCUCGUCAAGAGACUCCAGACUCAGUUCUGUGUUUUCUGUAGCCCCACCUGCCGCGAUGCUUCUUUUCAGAGGAAGGAAGUCUUUCUCAGAAGUCUCCCCGCGACUCCCUCCCCUUGGAUAGUUGUUUGGAAUUCAGCCCCGUGGCCGUCCCUACACCGAUCUCCGUCCAGGGCACGGGCCCUGCCACCAUCCGCUUGGAUAAUCAGGACUUGCUCCUGGAAGGCCCGUGGCUCUGCACAGCUCAGCACAACUGGGCUUUGAACAGCGGGCAAUGAGAGACCCUUGCCAGUGGGAGAGCAGCCAAACAGUAUUUGCCACAGGGCAGGAAAAGGAAGGCUGUGGGUUUUCUUUUUCCCAGCUUUAUGGAGAUAAAAUCGACUUACAACAUCGCAUAAGCUUCAAGUGCACAAGGUGAUGAUCUGAUCCACGUAUGUAUCAGGAAACAGUUACCACAAUAAGGUUAGUGGAUACAUCCAUCACCUCACAUAAUCACAUUUGUUUUGUGUGGUGAGAACGUUAAAGACGUACUCUCUUAGCAA